UUUUUAUACGACCGCAAAAAAAUUUUUGUGGUCGUAUAUUGGUAUGACGUUGGCGUCGUCGUCGUCGUCGUCCGGCGUCGUCGUCUUCCGGCGUCGUCGUCCGAAUACACAUUAGUUUUCGCACUCUAACUUUAGUUUAAGUGAAUGGAUCUCAAUGAAAUUUUACCAUAAGGUUCAAUACCACAAAAGGAAGGUGGGGAUUGAUUUUGGGGGUUAUGGUACUAACAGUUAAGGAAUAAGGGGCCAAAAGGGGCCAAAAAUAAGCAUUUUUGUAACUUCCAGACAUAACUUGUGUGUAAGUGUAUGGAUCUCUCUGACAUUGUACCACAAGGUUCCAUAUCACAAAGGGAAUGCUGGGAUUGAUUUUGGGGGUAAUUGCCUCCAAAUUUUAGGAAUUAGGGGCCAAAAAGGGGCAAAAAACAAGCAUUUUUCUAGUUUCAUGACAAUAACUUGUUUGUAAUUGUAUGGAUCUUUAUGAAAUUGUACUACAAGGUUCCAUAUCACAAAGGGAAAGCUGGAAUUGAGUUUGGGGGUAAUUGCCCUAAACGUUAAGGAAUUUGGGGCCAAAAAGGGGCCAAAAAACAAGCAUUUUUAUACGACCGCAAAAAUUGAAAAUUUUUUGGUCGUAUAUUGGUAUGACGUUGGCGUCGUCGUCGGCGUCGUCCGGCGUCGUCCGAAGACACAUUGGUUUUCGCACUCUAACUUUAGUUUAAGUGAAUGGAUCUCCAUGAAAUUUUACCAUAAGGUUCAAUACCACGAAAGGAAGGUUGGGAUUGAUUUUGGGGGUUAUGGUUCCAACAGUUAAGGAAUUAGGGGCCAAAAAGGGGCCAAACAUAAGCAUUUUUGUAACUUCCAGACAUAACUUGUGUGUAAGUGUAUGGAUCUCUCUGACAUUGUACCACAAGGUUCCAUAUCACAAAGGGAAGGCUGUAAUUGAUUUUGGGGGUAAUUGCCUCAAAAUUUUAGGAAUUAGGGGCCAAAAAAGGGGCAAAAAACAAGCAUUUUUCUAGUUUCAUGACAAUAACUUGUGUGUAAGUGUUUGGAUAUUUCUGAAAUUGUACUACAAGGUUCCAUCUCACAAAGGGAAAGCUGGAAUUGAGUUUUGGGGUAAUUGCCCUAAACUUUUAGGAAUUGGGGGCCAAAAAGGGGCCAAAAAUAAGCAUUUUUCUAGUUUCCAGACAAUAACUUGUGUUCAAGUGUAUGGAUCUCUCUGAAAUUGUACUGCAAGGUACCAUACCACAAAGGGAAGGCUAGGAUUGAGUUUGGGGGUGAUGAAUCAUAAGGGGGUUCAAAAAAUUUGGGGGGGGGAUUUUUUUUUUUCUUUUUUUUUCUUUUUUUCCUUUUUUUUUUUCUUUUAAAAUUUUCCAUUUUAAGUUGGUUAUUUCUGAUUUAUAUUUAAAAGCAAAUAAUAAUGAUAUGGUAGGAGAUACACACCAAACAGGAUGUGUAAAUUAUUAUAUAAUAAGUAUUGUGCAAUAGCAAGAAAUUUUCAAUUCCACAGUAUUGCACAAUAGCAAGAAAUCUUCAAUUGCACAGUAUUGCGCAAUAGCAAGAAAUUUUCAAUUGCACAGUAUUGCGCAAUAGCAAGAAAUAUCCAAUAGCACAAUAUUGCGCAAUAGCAAGAAAUUGUCAAUUGUACAGUAUUGCGCAAUAGCAAGAAAUAUUCAAUUGCACAGUAUUGUGCAAAAGAAGAUACUUCAUAUAAAUUGCUUAUUUCUUGAUCAAUUUCAAUGGGGUUUUAUUCUUGAAUUCUUGGGGUUCUUUAAUAUGCUGAAUCUAACCGUGUAUUAAGUUUUUGGAUUUUGGGCCCCGUUUUUAAAUUGGUCCACAUUGAGGUCCAAAGGGUCCAAAAUUUAACUUUGUUUGAUUUCAUCAAAAAUUGAAUUAUUGGGGUUCUUUGAUAUGCCGAAUCUAACCGUGUAUUUAGAUUCUUAAUUUUUGGUUCCGUUUUCAAAUUGGUCUACAUUAAGGUCCAAAGGGUCCAAAAUUAAACUUAGUUUGAUUUUAACAAAAAUUGAAUUUUUAGGGUUCUUUGAUAUGCUGAAUCUAAACAUGUAUUUAGAUUUUUGAUUAUGGGCCCAGUUUUCACGUUGGUCCAAAUCGGGGUCCAAAUUAAACUUUGUUUGAUUUCAACAAAAAUUGAAUAUAUGGGGUUCUUUGAUAUGCUGAAUCUAACCAUGUAUUUAGAUUUUUGAUUUUUGGGCCCCGUUAUCAACUUUGUCCACAUUGAGGUCAAAAGGGUCUAAAAUAAAACUUUGUUUGAUUUCAUCAAAAAUUGAAUUAUUGGGGUUCUUUGAUAUGCCGAAUCUAACCGUGUAUUUAGAUUCUUAAUUUUUGGUUCCGUUUUCAAAUUGGUCUACAUUAAGGUCCAAAGGGUCCAAAAUUAAAAUUAGUUUGAUUUUAACAAAAAUUGAAUUUUUAGGGUUCUUUGAUAUGCAGAAUCUAAACAUGUAUUUAGAUUUUUGAUUAUGGGCCCAGUUUUCAAGUUGGUCCAAAUCGGGGUCCAAAAUUAAACUUUGUUUGAUUUCAACAAAAAUUGAAUAUAUGGGGUUCUUUGAUAUGCUGAAUCUAACCUUGUAUUUAGAUUUUUGAUUUUUGGGCCCCGUUAUCAACUUUGUCCACAUUGAGGUCAAAAGGGUCUAAAAAAAAACUUUGUUUGAUUUCAUCAAAAAUUUAAUUCUUGGGGUUCUUUGAUAUGCUGAAUCUAACCAUGUAUUUAGAUUUUGGAUAUUGGACCAUAAUAGGUGAAUGUCCAAUUUGAAAUUUUUAAGUUCUUAGACCACAUUCAUUCUGUGUCAGAAACCUAUGCUGUGUCAAAUAUUUAAUCACAAUCCAAAUUCAGAGCUGUAUCAAGCUUGAAUGUUGUGUCCAUACUUGCCCCAACUGUUCAGGGUUCGACCUCUGCGGUCGUAUCAAGCUGCGCCCUGCGGAGCAUUUUAUUCUAGUUUCCAGACAAUAACUUGUGUUCAAGUGUAUGAAUCUCUCUGAAAUUGUACUGCAAGGUACCAUACCACAAAGGGAAAGCUGGGAUUGAGUUUGGGGGUGAUGAAUCAUAAGGGGGUUCAAAAAAUUGGGGGGGGGAUUUUUUUUUUCCUUUUUUUUCUUUAACAUUUUCCAUUUUAAAUUGGUUAUUUCUGAUUUAUAUAUAAAAGCAAAUAAUAAUGAUAUGGUUUAAAUAGGCAUACAUGUGAACCUCCCGACGGGAGUACAAUAAUCCCGUUUUCAGGGGUCUCCUCCCGACCUCCCGUUGAAGAGGAAAAAUUCCCGUGUAUGAAAUUUUUCAUGAAUGAAAAAUUUCUGCCCAACAUAUCAUCUCAGGCAUCUGGUGUAACUGACAUUACCUGAAGUUAUAUUUUACCUGUAAAUCAAUUAACAUGCAUAAUUAUAUGGCUUCACUUGUCAGCUUGGGUGUCAAACAUACUGGUAAUCAACGAUUUUUACCUCAGGCUAACUGCCGUUGUGUAACAAAAACUGUGUAUUUAUUGGGUUACUUCCCUUGAUUUAUCCUGUUUUAAGUUACUUUCCUUUUAAUAAUGAAAAUUUUUAAAAGAAUAUAAAUAAAAUAAAUUGAACAAAUAAUCAUAAAAGGAUGGUUAUUAAAUGAUUUUAAAUGUCUUAGGACAAAUAAAAAAAUAAUAAUAUGAAAAUUAUUUGAGGAUUCUAUACUUCCUUUCAAGGCUUAAAUUGAAAUUUAUAUAAUAACUAUGACCCUAAAUUUACAGAUAGAAUGAUUUUCUGAGUUUGCAAAUAA